GUUUUGGCAGCAAUGUUGUCCUUUCAUUGUGCAAGACUCCAAUUCUCCCCUUCAUCCUGGGAAGAGAAGGAAGACAAGGGCAGUGGAAGGGCUAAUUGGUCUGGAUGAAGAGACAAUGAGAAAUGAAGGCUCUGCAGCAGGCUCAUUGCUCAUUCACUGGCCUCUGUAGCUACUGGGGUCCUUGUAUCUGAUGCCAGAGCCUUACGAGAGGAAGGGAGUGGAAGGCCAGGGAAGAAGAAGCCAGAGGCUUGGGCCAGGAACUGUCCAGCCAGGAAAGUGCUGAAUCAGCCCUCACCUCUGAACUUGGAGGGUCCAUGGAAGCUGCUGCCAGGACCUAACCUCUGGAAAUACACCUUUCCAAGGUGGGUAGGAAGUGGUGGAAAUAGCCACACAACCAAAUUAUUACAGAGUCAUAAUUGAAGUUUAAGCUGCUAAAAGAGUUAUGUUGGAGAACGGAGUGGGCCACAGUGAUGGAAGAAAGCCCCAUUCUAAGCCUAGGGAAACACACGUUCUUGAUAGAGGUUACCUGGAUACACAAAGGAGCAGGAUGGCAGGAGUGAUCAUAAUUUCCUUCUGUGGUUGAUGGAGCUUCUUCUCCAUUCGGAAGAUAGUCCUUGACUUCCAAUUUCCUUAUUAUUGCUUGGCCCCGUAGAAAUUACUUCCAUUCUAUAAAAUAACUCCUGCCUGGCUAUCUUUGAAGCUGCAAAAGGAAGGAUUUUCAACUAUGUAGAAGUGAAUGUAGCAGUAAUACAGAUGUGUUUGCAUUUUAAUAAAAAUCGUGUGUGUGUGUGUGUGUGCAUGUGCACACCAUCUACAGAUAC
rnacentral:lncRNA from 10 species